AGAGUUUGAUCAUGGCUCAGAUUGAACGCUGGCGGCAGGCCUAACACAUGCAAGUCGAACGGUAACAGGAAGAAGCUUGCUUCUUUGCUGACGAGUGGCGGACGGGNGGGAUAACUACUGGAAACGGUAGCUAAUACCGCAUAACGUCGCAAGACCAAAGAGGGGGACCUUCGGGCCUCUUGCCAUCGGAUGUGCCCAGAUGGGAUUAGCUAGUAGGUGGGGUAACGGCUCACCUAGGCGACGAUCCCUAGCUGGUCUGAGAGGAUGACCAGCCACACUGGAACUGAGACACGGUCCAGACUCCUACGGGAGGCAGCAGUGGGGAAUAUUGCACAAUGGGCGCAAGCCUGAUGCAGCCAUGCCGCGUGUAUGAAGAAGGCCUUCGGGUUGUAAAGUACUUUCAGCGGGGAGGAAGGGAGUAAAGUUAAUACCUUUGCUCAUUGACGUUACCCGCAGAAGAAGCACCGGCUAACUCCGUGCCAGCAGCCGCGGUAAUACGGAGGGUGCAAGCGUUAAUCGGAAUUACUGGGCGUAAAGCGCACGCAGGCGGUUUGUUAAGUCAGAUGUGAAAUCCCCGGGCUCAACCUGGGAACUGCAUCUGAUACUGGCAAGCUUGAGUCUCGUAGAGGGGGGGAGAAUUCCAGGUGUAGCGGUGAAAUGCGUAGAGAUCUGGAGGAAUACCGGUGGCGAAGGCGGCCCCCUGGACGAAGACUGACGCUCAGGUGCGAAAGCGUGGGGAGCAAACAGGAUUAGAUCCCCUGGUAGUCCACGCCGUAAACGAUGUCGACUUGGAGGUUGUGCCCUUGAGGCGUGGCUUCCGGAGCUAACGCGUUAAGUCGACCGCCUGGGGAGUACGGCCGCAAGGUUAAAACUCAAAUGAAUUGACGGGGGCCCGCACAAGCGGUGGAGCAUGUGGUUUAAUUCGAUGCAACGCGAAGAACCUUACCUGGUCUUGACAUCCACAGAACUUUCCAGAGAUGGAUUGGUGCCUUCGGGAACUGUGAGACAGGUGCUGCAUGGCUGUCGUCAGCUCGUGUUGUGAAAUGUUGGGUUAAGUCCCGCAACGAGCGCAACCCUUAUCCUUUGUUGCCAGCGGUCCGGCCGGGAACUCAAAGGAGACUGCCAGUGAUAAACUGGAGGAAGGUGGGGAUGACGUCAAGUCAUCAUGGCCCUUACGACCAGGGCUACACACGUGCUACAAUGGCGCAUACAAAGAGAAGCGACCUCGCGAGAGCAAGCGGACCUCAUAAAGUGCGUCGUAGUCCGGAUUGGAGUCUGCAACUCGAUUCCAUGAAGUCGGAAUCGCUAGUAAUCGUGGAUCAGAAUGCCACGGUGAAUACGUUCCCGGGCCUUGUACACACCGCCCGUCACACCAUGGGAGUGGGUUGCAAAAGAAGUAGGUAGCUUAACCUUCGGGAGGGCGCUUACCACUUUGUGAUUCAUGACUGGGGUGAAGUCGUAACAAGGUAACCGUAGGGGAACCUGCGGUUG
rnacentral:rRNA from 1 species